GAUGGCGAGGGGAGCCAACUUGAUCUCCUGUGAUAGAACCUGCUGUGGGUUCUGCCGGGGACGAGGGCUGGCAAGAUGAGGGGGAAGGUUCAACCCCCGGGCCGGGCCGGGCCGGGCCGGGCCGGGCCGCGCGGCGCGGGGACAGGAGGGGGCACGCCCACUGGCGGGGCCGCCUGGCCAGUCCGUCCCCGGGACGCGAGGCUUCGCCUCGGGCCGGUGCGAGCGCGCGGGAGCGCACUUGACCCCGGAAGGCGGCGCGGCCGAGAGCGCGCAGGCCGAGAGCAGGCUCCGGGAGCCGCCGGCGCCUCCCCGCGGCCUGGGCGCACGUGCCUGGGCUGGGGCCAGGACUAGUGGCCGCACCGUAGUAGCUGGGCGGGUAGGAGAGGCUGGCUCCGGGCCGCGGCCGCCGCCCGCCCGCCGGCUCCGGUGGUUGGGCGGAGGAAGCGCGGGACUCCUCCUCCCCACCGUAUUAACAUGCACCCAGGGGCGGGUGACCAGCCCAGCCUCGCCGCCCCAGCUCGCCGCGUCCCGGCGCUCAGCCUCCGUGCCAGAGGCGAGCGCUGCGCUCCGGGCGCCGCAAUCCCGAGGACACGGCCUCCCCGACACCUCCAGCCCCGGGGAGUCGGCGGCAUCCUCCGCGGGAGCGGGCGCAGCCGCCUCGGCUCCUCUCUCGCGUCCUUGCCAUCACCUCGCUGAGACCCUGUCCCGGCCGCGGGGACACCCCUCCUCGUCCUCCCCGCGAGGCUCGUGGGACCGACGGACGGACGCAGGGAUCCAGGGCCGGACUGCGGGCAGCGGCAAGCCAGUGCUACUCACUUGUCAUCUAGAAGAGUGGUUCUCAAGUUGGCUAUACACGAGAGAAUACCUGGGCCCACACGCCAGAACAAUUGAAUCAAAAUCUCUAGGGGUAAGAGUGGGAGAGGGUGAGAUGGGACCCAGGCCUUUUGUCCAUUUUUAAAUCAGGUUCUUUUCAAUCCUCGGGUUGUGUU
ensembl:lncRNA